GACGAACGCUGGCGGCGUGCUUAACACAUGCAAGUCGAACGGAAAGGCCCUGCUUUUGUGGGGUGCUCGAGUGGCGAACGGGUGAGUAACACGUGAGUAACCUGCCCUUGACUUUGGGAUAACUUCAGGAAACUGGGGCUAAUACCGGAUAGGAGCUCCUGCUGCAUGGUGGGGGUUGGAAAGUUUCGGCGGUUGGGGAUGGACUCGCGGCUUAUCAGCUUGGUGGUGGGGUAGUGGCUUACCAAGGCUUUGACGGGUAGCCGGCCUGAGAGGGUGACCGGCCAAAUUGGGACGGAGCUGCGGCCCAGACUACUCCGGGAGGCAGCAGUGGGGAAUAUUGCACAAUGGGCGGAAGCCUGAUGCAGCAACGCCGCGUGCGGGAUGACGGCAUUCGGGUUGUAAACCGCUUUCGCCUGUGACGAAGCGUGAGUGACGGUAAUGGGUAAAGAAGCACCGGCUAACUACGUG
rnacentral:rRNA from 1 species